UCUGGGCAGUUCCUACUGUGUGUGUGUGUGUGUGAGAGAGUGUGACAGUGAAUGUGUGAGUGCAUAUAUGUUAGUGAGUGUGUGUAUGUGUGUGUAUGAGUAUGCAUCUGUAUCUGCUGUUAGUGAUGGACAGGCUUCUCCAGGGAUAUAUUGUUUGCCUUCCCAGCGGAUUCCAUGGUGACAUUCUGUGGCAAGUGGCAAGAACUUCCGUACGGCUGGGAGAAAAUCGAUGACCCAAUGUAUGGCAGUUACUAUGUUGACCACAUAAACCGACGGACGCAAUUUGAGAACCCGGUUCUGGAGGCCAAGCAGCGGCUCCAGCAGCAGCAGCAAAUGCAAAGCCAAGGCCUGUCCUCGCUGCCCCUCUCGUCCGUCUACAGAGGUACCUCCCUG